rnacentral:rRNA from 1 species
UUUCUGCCGCCGGCGACCGGCGCACGGGUGAGUAACACGUAUCCAACCUGCCUCAUACUCGGGGAUAGCCUUUCGAAAGAAAGAUUAAUACCCGAUGUUAUAGUCCUACCGCAUGAUGGGAUUAUUAAAGAAUUUCGGUAUGGGAUGGGGAUGCGUUCCAUUAGUUAGUUGGCGGGGUAACGGCCCACCAAGACAACGAUGGAUAGGGGUUCUGAGAGGAAGGUCCCCCACAUUGGAACUGAGACACGGUCCAAACUCCUACGGGAGGCAGCAG